UUUUGCAGUCUUGGGGAUUGAACACAGACUUGUGCAUGCCUAACUAUCAGUCAUUGAAAGUAAUUGAGUUUUUUAUGUACUUGGGUGUUUUGUCUGCAUGUGUGUCUGUGCAUCAAGUGUGUGCAGUGCCCGUGGAGGCCAGAAGACGGCGCUGUCUUCCCUGAGACUAGAGUCAGCCGGUUGUGAGCUGCCAUGUGGGUUCUGGGAAUUGAAUUUAUGCUCACUGGGAGAGCAGCCAGUGCUCUUCUUUACCGCCAAGCCAUCUCUCCAGACACUAACAUUAGAGAUUUCUAUAUAAAACAUUUUUUUUAAAAUUUGUAUUCUUUUUACUGAAGUCUCACCUUGGAGAAAGUUUGUAGUAAAUUCCCAAAAUAAUUUUAUUUCCACAAGGUGACAGAAUUUAGGUGCAUACCUGAUCUUGAUGAGAGCAGGUCUCAGUUUGCUGAGGGAAAUGGGUUUGUGUGUCUGCUUUAAGUGCUGAGGCUGGGGUUUGAAAUGACGGAGGUGUCUGGUAUGACGACGCACCACACAGAAAUGAGGUGCUUUUAAUUCACUCUAAUUCCAAAUGCUAUUAUGGGUGACAGGUAAAAAUGGCAAUUGUGACACUCACACUUGAAGAAUAUAUGCCAAGCCAUGCUUUGCUUGGGACUUAGUUACUAAUUAUCCACACCUCGACUCUAGUCAUGUUGCUUCUGGGGACCUAGGAUCAGUGCUUUCCAGGGACUCCAGAUUGAGCAUCAGUGUGACAGUAUUUUCCCUUUUAUUAAAUUUUAAUGCAGAUUUAUUAGUUAAUAUGUUUCACCUUUUCAGAUUGACAUUACUUUAUUAUAUAAAAUUACAUUUGUUUUUUUUUUCUUUUAUAAUAACCAUAUCUCCUCCCCUCCACCCCCCAACAAACUUCCUAGAAUUUCUGGAAUAAUUUUCAAUAAUAGAAAAUUUGGCAGCUUUGUAUCAAAAGUUACAUGUUUCUACUUGUCAGAACAAAGCAUCACUUUUCUCUUACUUGCUGUGUUUUAGAACAUUAGUGACCAUUGAAUGUAUUGAAUUUUUACCUCUGUUGAGGUAUCGUCUCCUCCUUUAAUUAAUAAGGUGACAGGUUGCGUCAAUCAGCAUGUUGUUGGUACUUGUUGGAACUGUGUGAGCUUUGUUUCGUACUUGGUGGUAUGGACGGCAAGAUGCUAAUGGAAACUCCUGCUUCUGAGAGUUUAUAUAGCCAGCAAGGAUGCCUGUGCCAGCCUGUCUUUAUAGAUGUGGUAGAAUAUUACCAUCCAUUCUUCUUGGUUCAUUCCAUCUCUGUAAUUUUUUUUCUGAGCGUCUUUUUGAAAAGUUCUUAUGUUGUUGAAAUAUCUGCCUUGUUUAUUUUUUUAAAAAUUUUUUUAAGAAAAAAGUAUUUUAUACCAUUUGGUCUGUUAUUUUAAAUAGUAUCUCUGUUCUCUGUUGUGUGGCAUCUAUUUGUUCUUUUCUUCCUACACUUUGGUUUGCUUCAUGUGACGUUUCCCUGUAUUUAAAAUUCUUUUACGCAAAUUGCUUCUUUUUCUGUUUUUGUCUUAAUUACUAAAUUCAGUAAUCUUGGUACUGCUGUCACUGAUCCCGCCUGGUCGUCUCUCUGGGCUUAGUUAACUGCCUUUUGAGGGUUUUUUGGCUCAAGGGUUAGCUGACCCCCUAAUCUUGGUGGUACCAUGUUCUCUUUGUCCUGCGUUUGUCCUCCUGCUCCCCCUCUGUCAGGAGCAGUAUGCCACACCCUCUUAAGUCCCUAGGAACAUUUGUCAGUUUACAGCUUUGUUCACCAACUCAUGCCAUCACUUAACUCUCAUUUCAUAGUCUGUGUCUAUGAAAUGAAGACUUAGAGUCCAUCUUUCAUGGAAUCGAGCAUACUCAAUGGCAUAGACAUACGGUCACUCUUUAAAAUCAUGAAGUAACACCAUGAAGUAACCUUUCUGGUUUCAAUGAGUCUUCCUGAGAAGAUGUUCGUUGUGAUGGAUUUGAAAAUGGUGUGUGCACUGCAAGUCACAGGUUGGCUCUGCUCAGACCUAACUACUCCUUGUAAUGCUCACACCUUCUCUACUUAGGAGCCUUAGCUACUGUGGUAACUGAAGUUUCCCAUCUCUUCUGUGUUGGGUCUAGAGGGAUGAAGUGGUAGUUUCUAUAUUCUUUUGUUCCUGUGGCUCCAGAGCCCUGACUUACAAAUGACAUACUCAAACAUCCUGUGUAACUAUGAAUUAGCAGCCUCAGUGGGACUUAGAAUCCUAGCACCGUCAAAGCAGAGCGGCUUUAACAUGUAGUUGUUUUGGCAAUUAAGUGUUUAUCUCUCUUAAGGUGCUGCGGUUUUCCAGUGAUCACACUUUCCAUAUUUAAAACACAACCCAGUGACAAAGUAUUGACUUCUGGAUUCAGAAAAAAUUCAAGCUUCACUAUGUAAUAAUUGUGUAAUCAAUUAAUUGCUUAAAUAAUUUAAGAGAGUUAAUUACCUUUAGUUUUGGUUUCCCUGUCUUCAAUAGGACAUGAUAAUUGGUUGGCUUGAAAUAUAUAUG
rnacentral:lncRNA from 1 species